AUGAAGACUGGCACAGUGAAUCCAUUCCCAAAUCUAAAAAAGGAAGACAUAAUUGAAGAACUAGAGAAAAGAUCAGUAUGGCCAGAAAAGGAAACCAAGAACAGUCAGAAGAUAGUAUUUCAUGAUGGACCUGGAGAUGAAGACAACAGACGUCUUGGGUCACACCUGCGUCAUUUCCGUUCCUCUUCCUUGAAACAAGAAAGGCAACGAAUUCAGGUAAUAUGGGAGAGAUGUGUGGAGAUGUAUGUGGCGGGUCAGCUUCAUCUACCUUUGAAUCGCUUGAAAACCUACAAAGAUGGGAAAAUGUUGUACAAUAUUGAUGGAGCACAAGAUGACUGCAUGAAGAGGAAACUGACACAUACAGGAUAUCAAAUUGAUCAUAAGUCUAGUGGAGAAGCUGAAAAUCUCUCUAUUCGGAAGAGAACUUGCAAUAACGGGACCACUCUUGUUAAAAAGAGGUUCUGGUAUAUUUCUCAUGAAUAUGAUUAUUCCUACCAGUGA
rnacentral:sRNA from 1 species